UACGUAGGGGGCAAGCGUUGUCCGGAUUCAUUGGGCGUAAAGAGCGUGUAGGCGGCCAGGUAGGUCGGUUGUGAAAACUGGAGGCUCAACCUUCAGAGGUCGACCGAAACCAUCUGGCUAGAGUCCGGGAGAGGAGAGUGGAAUUCCUGGUGUAGCGGUGAAAUGCGCAGAUAUCAGGAAGAACACCCGUGGCGAAGGCGGUUCUCUGGGCCUGUACUGACGCUGAGGAGCGAAAGCGUGGGGAGCGAACAGG
rnacentral:rRNA from 1 species